rnacentral:rRNA from 1 species
UACGUAGGGGGCGAGCGUUGUCCGGAAUCAUUGGGCGUAAGCGCGUGUAGGCGGCCCGGUAAGUCCGCUGUGAAAGUCCAGGGCUCAACCCUGGGGAUGCCGGUCGAUACUGGUGGACUAGAGUCCGGAAGAGGCGAGUGGAAUUCCCGGUGUAGCGGUGAAAUGCGCAGAUAUCGGGAGGAACACCAAUGGCGGAGGCAGCUCGCUGGAACGGUACGUGACGCUGAGGCGCGAAAGCGUGGG